rnacentral:rRNA from 1 species
CCGGCGCACGGGUGAGUAACACGUAUCCAACCUGCCGUCUACUCUUGGCCAGCCUUCUGAAAGGAAGAUUAAUCCAGGAUGGGAUCAUGAGUUCACAUGUCCGCAUGAUUAAAGGUAUUUUCCGGUAGACGAUGGGGAUGCGUUCCAUUAGAUAGUAGGCGGGGUAACGGCCCACCUAGUCAACGAUGGAUAGGGGUUCUGAGAGGAAGGUCCCCCACAUUGGGACUGAGACACGGUCCAA